ACUUUUCCAAAAUAUGCUGAUAUGCAAGGAUUUAUCCGACCAGGGAGGAAAAGGAGAUCGCUUGAUGACUGAGUACUCCACGGACGACGAAAAUCACAAGGCAAGCCACAGACCGUCCUGGAAGAAUUCUUAAUUUCAAGAUGAUAUAAAUUGCAUUACACAUAACUGAGUAUUAGAAAGCGUGUUUUCUUUUUUUUUUCUAACUAAACAUUGAGAAGAAGAGAAAUUGAAAUAUUGGUUCGAUGUUGUAAAGGCAGG